AUGGCGAAGCUAUACAUGCAGGCGGUGCCCCCACCGCAUCUGAACAAGAACACCGAGUGGUUCAUGUACCCGGGGGUCUGGACCACCCACAUCUUCAUCCUCUUCGUCUCCUGGCUCCUCAUCCUCUCCAUCUUCGGUUGCACCCCCGGCAUGGCCUGGACACUCGUCCACCUCGGCCACUUCACGAAGAAGGGAACUCCAUUGGCUGAUGAUCAGGGGAUGUAUAAUAGGUUGACUUGGUGGGAGCAAAUGGACAACGGCAAGUAG
rnacentral:rRNA from 1 species